rnacentral:rRNA from 1 species
CUCAUAGCGUAUAUUUAAGUUGUUGCAGUUAAAAAGCUCGUAGUUGGAUUUCGGGUGGGGGGCGCCGGUCCGCUUCGGUGUGCACUGGCGGCCCACAUCUUUCUGUCGGGGAUACGCUCUGGUCUUCACUGAUCGGACGUAGAGUCGGCGCUGUUACUUUGAAAAAAUUAGAGUGUUCAAAGCAGGCUUUCGCUUGAAUACAUUAGCAUGGAAUAACAUGAUAGGACUCCGCUCCCAUUGUGUUGGUCUUCGGGACUGGAGUAAUGAUUAAGAGGGACAGUUGGGGGCAUUCGUAUUUCAUUGUCAGAGGUGAAAUUCUUGGAUUUAUGAAAGACGAACUUCUGCGAAAGCAUUUGCCAAGGAUGUUUUCAUUAAUCAAGAACGAAAGUUGGGGGCUCGAAGAUGAUUAGAUACCAUCGUAGUCUCAACCAUAAACGAUGCCGACUAGGGAUUAGCGGAUGUUAAUUUGAUGACUUCGCUAGCACCUUGUGAGAAAUCAAAGUCUUUGGGUUCCGGGGGGAGUAUGGUCGCAAGGCUGAAACUUAAAGGAAUUGACGGAAGGGCACCACCAUGGCGUGGAGCCUGCGGCUUAAUUUGACUCAACACGGGGAAACUUACCAGGUCCAGACACAGUAAUGAUUGACAGAUUGAGAGCUCUUUCUUGAUUCUGUGG